UCCGACCUCAGAUCGGACGAGAUUACCCGCUGAAUUUAAGCAUAUUACUAAGCGGAGGAAAAGAAACUAACAAGGAUUCCCUCAGUAACGGCGAGUGAAGCGGGAAUAGCCCAGCACCGAAUCCCUCAGUGUCAUGCUGACGGGAACUGUGGUGUGUGGGACGCCACCAGUCGCAUCAGAGGGCGCCGAAGUCCUCCUGAUCGGGGCUUCACCCAGAGCGGGUGUAAGGCCUUUGCAGGUGCUUCUCUGUGCGGCCGCGAGCGUCUCAGGAGUCGGGUUGUUUGGGAAUGCAGCCCAAAGCGGGUGGUAAACUCCAUCUAA
rnacentral:rRNA from 1 species